rnacentral:rRNA from 1 species
AAUAGGUGACGGGUUUUAUCAAUUGAAACCGAAGGGAGUACGGAGGCGUCGGGAUCCGGUGGCGGCGGUUCGGGUGGAGGAGGCCGUGUUCUUUAGCGGGCUCUUUCCGUGGCGUGAUUCGGUUGUUGAAGGAGGAGGCGCGGGGUCUGAGUUUGGUUUGCUCGGGGUUUCGGCUCCGAGCGCUGGCUUUUUCUCCGUCGUCUUUUUUUUUCGGCAAUCGGCCGCGUUGCGGGGGGGUUUUGCGGGGGCUCGGUUUCUUGUUUCUCGGUCGUCGUCAUCCCCGGCGAUACCUUCUGCUCUCGCGUCCGUCACGCAGUCUUCUUAGAGGGACAAGCGGCGUCCAGCCGCGUGACAGUGAGCAAUAACAGGUCUGUGAUGCCCUUAGAUGUCCUGGGCCGCACGCGCGCUACACUGAAGGAAUCAGCGUGUUUCACUCUCCCUGUCCGAAAGGACCGGGUAACCGCUGAACCUCCUUCGUGGUUGGGAUUGGGGACUGCAAUGAUCCCCAUGAACCAGGAAUCCCUAGUAGGCGCGGGUCACUAGCCCGCGUCGAUUACGUCCCUGCCCUUUGUACACACCGCCCGUCGCUACUACCGAUUGAAUGAUUUAGUGAGGCCUUCGGACGGGCUUGUCGGGGUGCCGUCGUGUGGGGAGCAAUCUCUGCGCGCGCGGUGCCUACCAACGGCGAGACUGAAAGAUGGUCGAACUUGAUCCUUAGAGGAA